rnacentral:rRNA from 1 species
UACGUAGGGGCAAGCGUUGUCCGGAAUUAUUGGGCGUAAAGCGCGCGCAGGCGGCAUCGUAAGCCCAGUGUUUAAGCUCGGAGCUCAACUCCGAUACGCACUGGGAACUGCGAGGCUUGAGUGCAGAAGAGGAAAGUGGAAUUCCACGUGUAGCGGUGAAAUGCGUAGAGAUGUGGAGGAAUACCGAUGGCGAAGGCAGCCUCCUGGGCCAACACUGACGCUCAUGCACGAAAGCGUGGGGAGCAAACAGG